UACGUAGGGUGCGAGCGUUAAUCGGAAUUACUGGGCGUAAAGCGUGCGCAGGCGGUGAUGUAAGACCGACGUGAAAUCCCCAAGCUUAACUUGGGAACUGCGUCGGAUACUGGAUGGCUUGAAUUCGGGAGAGGGAUGCAGAAUUCCAGGUGUAGCGGUGAAAUGCGUAGAUAUCUGGAGGAAUACCGGUGGCGAAGGCGGCAUCCUGGACCGACAUUGACGCUGAACGGCGAAAGCUAGGGGAGCAAACGGG
rnacentral:rRNA from 1 species